GCGGGGUGCUGUUGCGUGACCAGCGGAGGGAUCAUUACCGAGUUUACAACUCCCAAACCCCUGUGAACAUACCUAUACGUUGCCUCGGCGGAUCAGCCCGCGCCCCGUAAAAAGGGACGGCCCGCCCGAGGACCCCUAAACUCUGUUUUUAGUGGAACUUCUGAGUAAAACAAACAAAUAAAUCAAAACUUUCAACAACGGAUCUCUUGGUUCUGGCAUCGAUGAAGAACGCAGCAAAAUGCGAUAAGUAAUGUGAAUUGCAGAAUUCAGUGAAUCAUCGAAUCUUUGAACGCACAUUGCGCCCGCCAGUAUUCUGGCGGGCAUGCCUGUUCGAGCGUCAUUUCAACCCUCAAGCUCAGCUUGGUGUUGGGACUCGCGGUAACCCGCGUUCCCCAAAUCGAUUGGCGGUCACGUCGAGCUUCCAUAGCGUAGUAAUCAUACACCUCGUUACUGGUAAUCGUCGCGGCCACGCCGUAAAACCCCAACUUCUGAAUGUUGACCUCGGAUCAGGUAGGAAUACCCGCUGAACUUAA
rnacentral:rRNA from 1 species